UAGUCCACGCCGUAAACGAUGAUAACUAGCUGUCCGGUCUCAUAGAGACUGGGUGGCGCAGCUAACGCAUUAAGUUAUCCGCCUGGGGAGUACGGUCGCAAGAUUAAAACUCAAAGGAAUUGACGGGGGCCUGCACAAGCGGUGGAGCGUGUGGUUUAAUUCGAAGCAACGCGCAGAACCUUACCAGCCUUUGACAUCCCGGGAACUUUCCAGAGAUGGAUUGGUGCCUUCGGGAACACGGAGACAGGUGGUGCAUGGCUGUCGUCAGCUCGUGUCGUGAGAUGUUGGGUUAAGUCCCGCAACGAGCGCAACCCUCGUCCUUAGUUGCCAUCAUUAAGUUGGGCACUCUAGGGAGACUGCCGGGGACAACUCGGAGGAAGGUAAGGAUGACGUCAAGUCAGCAUGCCCCUUACGCUCUGGGCUACACACGUGCUACAAUGGUCGUGACAAAGAGUUGCUAGUCUGCGAAGGCAAGCCAAUCUCAUAAACGCGGCCUUAGUUCGGAUUG
rnacentral:rRNA from 1 species